CCUACGGGUGGCAGCAGUAGGGAAUAUUGCUCAAUGGGGGAAACGCUGAAGCAGCAACGCCGCGUGGAGGAUGAAGGUUUUCGGAUUGUAAACUCCUUUUGUUAGAGAAGAUAAUGACGGUAUCUAACGAAUAAGCACCGGCUAACUCCGUGCAAGCAGCCGCGGUAAUACGGAGGGUGCAAGCGUUACUCGGAAUCACUGGGCGUAAAGGGCGCGUAGGCGGGUUAGCAAGUCAGAUGUGAAAUCCUAUGGCUUAACCAUAGAACUGCAUUUGAAACUGUUAAUCUAGAGUAUGGGAGAGGUAGGUGGAAUUCUUGGUGUAGGGGUGAAAUCCGUAGAGAUCAAGAGGAAUACUCAUUGCGAAGGCGGCCUGCUAGAACAUAACUGACGCUGAUGCUCGAAAGCGUGGGGAGCAAACAGGAUUAGAUACCCCGGUAGUC
rnacentral:rRNA from 1 species